GAUGAAGAACGUAGCGAAAUGCGAUAAGUAGUGUGAAUUGCAGAAUUCAGUGAAUCAUCGAAUCUUUGAACGCACAUUGCGCCCUUUGGUAUUCCAAAGGGCAUGCCUGUUCGAGCGUCAUUUGUACCCUCAAGCUUUGCUUGGUGUUGGGCGUCUUGUCUCUAGCUUUGCUGGAGACUCGCCUUAAAGUAAUUGGCAGCCGGCCUACUGGUUUCGGAGCGCAGCACAAGUCGCACUCUCUAUCAGCAAAGGUCUAGCAUCCAUUAAGCCUUUUUUUUCAACUUUUGACCUCGGAUCAGGUAGGGAUACCCGCUGAACUUAAGCAUAUCAAUAAGCGGAGGGA
rnacentral:misc_RNA from 1 species